CUGAAUGCAGGAAUAGAUGGAAGAGGGGCGGGCACAGCUUACUCUGCCUCUAGAUAGGCAGAGCCAACUGUCAUUCGAGCAGCUGGGUGUAUCUUGACAG